rnacentral:rRNA from 1 species
AGUGAACGCUGGCGGCAGGCCUAAUACAUGCAAGUCGAACGGCAGCACAGCAGAGCUUGCUCUGUGGGUGGCGAGUGGCGGACGGGUGAGGAAUACAUGGGAAUCUGCCCAGUCGUGGGGGAUAACGUAGGGAAACUUACGCUAAUACCGCAUGCGCCCUUCGGGGGAAAGCCGGGGACCCUCGGGCCUGGCGCGAUUGGAUGAGCCCAUGUCGGAUUAGCUAGUUGGCGGGGUAAUGGCCCACCAAGGCGACGAUCCGUAGCUGGUCUGAGAGGAUGAUCAGCCACACUGGAACUGAGACACGGUCCAGACUCCUACGGGAGCAGCAGUAGGGAAUAUUGGACAAUGGGCGCAAGCCUGAUCCAGCCAUGCCGCGUGAGUGAAGAAGGCCCUCGGGUUGUAAAGC